UGACGUGUCGCGGUAGCGGCUUCCGCUCCUCCCCGCACCUUAUCCACUCAGCGCGGCGAGAGGGGCGGGGAAGCCGGGGUGGCGCUGCCCUCGGCCCCCGCUCCCGGCCCGCCCCGCCGCCCCGGCCCCCCGGAUGAGGGUAUAUAUUUCGGGUGGGCCCGGGACGCAGAUGAGUGGCCUAGCCGAGGGAGCCGUAGCCGGGUGGAGCCGCAGUCGCGCGGAGGGAGAUGGCUCUUUGAAGAUGUGAUCAAGUUUGGCCUGAUGCUGUAUGUGAUGCAGUGUUCAUGCAUGGUUCAUGAAAUCUUGAAGUCAGGUGGUAGCGAUCAUGAUCGGAUGUGUGUGUCAUGGAGUGCAACAGUUUAAAGACUUUGAGCAAUAGAAAAUAUAUUACUAUAUUUACAGUAUGGAAGUAGAUCUAUCUGCUUCAAAUAAACAUAG